AUUAACGCUAGCGGUAGGCAUAACACAUGCAAGUCGAACGGGAUCUUCGGAUCUAGUGGCGAACGGCUGAGUAACACGUUGGUACCUGCCCCAAAGUGAGGGAUAACAUCGAGAAAUUGAUGCUAAUACCGCAUAUGCCCGUAAGGGUAAAGCUUCGGCGCUUUGGGAGGGGCCUGCGGCGUAUCAGGUAGUUGGUGAGGUAAAGGCUCACCAAGCCAUUGACGCGUAUCUGGUGUGAGAGCAUGACCAGACAGAAUGGGACUGAGACACGGCCCAUACUCCUACGGGAGGCAGCAGUGAGGAAUCUUCCGCAAUGGGCGAAAGCCUGACGGAGCCAUACCGCGUGUGGGAUGACACCUUUCGGGGCGUAAACCACUUUUCUGAAGGAAGCAGUUCUGACGGUACUUCAGGAAUAAGCGACGGCUAACUACGU
rnacentral:rRNA from 1 species